rnacentral:rRNA from 1 species
CUACGGGCGGCACCAGUGGGGAAUAUUGCACAAUGGGCGCAAGCCUGAUGCAGCCAUGCCGCGUGUAUGAAGAAGGCCUUCGGGUUGUAAAGUACUUUCAGCGGGGAGGAAGGGAGUAAAGUUAAUACCUUUGCUCAUUGACGUUACCCGCAGAAGAAGCACCGGCUAACUCCGUGCCAGCAGCCGCGGUAAUACGGAGAGUGCAAGCGUUAAUCGGAAUUACUGGGCGUAAAGCGCACGCAGGCGGUUUGUUAAGUCAGAUGUGAAAUCCCCGGGCUCAACCUGGGAACUGCAUCUGAUACUGGCAAGCUUGAGUCUCGUAGAGGGGGGUAGAAUUCCAGGUGUAGCGGUGAAAUGCGUAGAGAUCUGGAGGAAUACCGGUGGCGAAGGCGGCCCCCUGGACGAAGACUGACGCUCAGGUGCGAAAGCGUGGAGAGCAAACAGGAUUAGAUACCCGAGUAGUC